AUUGAACGCUGGCGGCAGGCUUAAUACAUGCAAGUCGAGCGAGCGGCGGACGGGUGAGUAAUGUCUGGGAAACUGCGUGAUGGAGGGGGAUAACUAGUGGAAACGGUAGCAAAUACGCAUACCAUCAGAUGUGGCUAGAUGGGAUUUACUAGUGGGUGGGGUAAUGGCUGACCUAGGCGACGAUGCCUAGCCGGUCUGAGAGGAUGACCAGCCACACUGGAACUGAGACACGGUCCAGACUCCUACGGGAGGCAGCAGUAGGGAAUAUUGCACAAUGGGCGAAAGCCUGAUGCAGCCAUGCCGCGUGUGUGAAGAAGGCCUUCGGGUUGUAAAGCUCUGUUAGCGAGGAGGCGGUACUCACAGAAGAAGCACCGGCUAACUCCGUGCCAGCAGCCGCGGUAAUAC
rnacentral:rRNA from 1 species